GACUCCGCCCAACCCUGCCUCUGUCCUCUCCCUACUCCUCCAGCUACCCCAUCUCCUCCCCACUCCCCCAUACCUGCCUGUGCUCUCUCCCUAUGGCGCCAAACCCAACUCUGCCCCCCAAACCUGCCUCUGUCCUCUCCCUACUCCCCAAACUACCUCUGCCUGUGCUCCCUCCCUAUUCCCCCCAAACCCACCUCUGGCCACUCCCCGUAACCCUUCCCUACUCCCCCAACCCACUUCUGCCCCCUUCUUACCAGUCCCAAACUCCUUCCUGACGCCCUGCCUCUGCCCCCUUCCUAGUCACCUCUCCAAACCCCUUCUCUGCCCGCUCCCUACCUAGUCCCACACUUUCAAGACCUGCAAAACUUCAACCUUGACCCCCUUCUUCCAUGGCCCAGUACCCUCAAAGUAGAGCUAGAGAAACAUUGACAUUUUGUGAUGAAAAAAGACAAUUCCUUCACAAUUUAAAAAAUAUAAUUCCCAUUUUAUGACCAGUUCAAAAGGUCCCGUUUCCCAAGACUCCCAGACUCUGACUCUGCCCCCUCCCUCAAUAUCCCUCCAGACAAAUCUGUUCCCAGUGCUCACCUCCAUAAUUACCCCCCACCCCCAAAGGGCAGAUUCUUCUCCCUUCUUAGCCCUUUCUUGCUUCUCUCCCCUCAGUAAUUCAGCUCCACAAGGGAGUUCUUCUCACCCCUCAAGCUGAUUGAAGUCAGGGGCUGUCAAACUAAUUGGAAUGAAUGGAGAUGUUAAAUGUCAGAGAAACACUUCAUCGGGGGUACAGGUUUGGGAGACCUCCCUACUUUCAAAAACUGCUUGUCGAAACUACAGGUAGCUGAAGCAGGUCCUGGAGUUAUUCAUGGAGGAAGUCCCAAGAACAGAAAAUUGGAGGAGAGGAGUAUAACAAGAACACACCAUUUCUCCCUCCCAAUAACUAGGAAUCUCUGAGGGACGGAAAGUAGCAAAACCCAAUUCUCCAUCCUUGUAGCAGGCAAGGAAAUCCUGGAUGUAGGAGAGAAGGCAGAAAACUCCUUCUCCCUUCCAGCACAGAAAGGAGGAACCUCCCCCCUAUAGAAGCCUCAUUUAAAGACCCAGCUUGUAGCUGAUUGGAGGAUGCUUGACUAAAGGUCAUCAUGGGAAAUGUAGUCCUAAACUGGAAGCUAAAGCUUGGGAUAGUGGUAU